UUUUGCAUUUCCCCAUAGCGGAGGAAAAGAAACCAACAGGGAUUGCCUCAGUAACGGCGAGUGAAGCGGCAAAAGCUCAAAUUUGAAAUCUAGCACCUUCGGUGUUCGAGUUGUAAUUUGAAGAUGGUAACCUUGGGUUUGGCUCUUGUCUAUGUUCCUUGGAACAGGACGUCAUAGAGGGUGAGAAUCCCGUCUGAUGAGAUGCCCAUUCCUAUGUAAGGUGCUAUCGAAGAGUCGAGUUGUUUGGGAAUGCAGCUCUAAGUGGGUGGUAAAUUCCAUCUAAAGCUAAAUAUUGGCGAGAGACCGAUAGCGAACAAGUACAGUGAUGGAAAGAUGAAAAGAACUUUGAAAAGAGAGUGAAAAAGUACGUGAAAUUGUUGAAAGGGAAGGGCAUUAGAUCAGACUUGGUGUUUUACGAUUAUCUUCUCUUCUUGAGUUGUGCACUCGUAUUUCACUGGGCCAGCAUCGAUUCGGAUGGCAAGAUAAUGGCAGUUGAAUGUGGCUUCACUUCGGUGGAGUGUUAUAGCUUCUGCUGAUAUUGCCUGUCUGGAUCGAGGGCUGCGUCUUUUGACUAGGAUGCUGGCGUAAUGAUCUAAUGCCGCCCGUCUUGAACCACCGAACAAAA
rnacentral:rRNA from 1 species